UACGUAGGGGGCAAGCGUUGUCCGGAUUUAUUGGGCGUAAAGAGCGUGUAGGCGGCUUUACAGGUCCGUUGUGAAAACUCGAGGCUCAACCUCGAGACGCCGGUGGAAACCGUAAGGCUAGAGUCCGGAAGAGGAGAGUGGAAUUCCUGGUGUAGCGGUGAAAUGCGCAGACUAUCAGGAGGAACACCCGUGGCGAAAGCGGCUCUCUGGGACGGUACUGACGCUGAGACGCGAAAGCCAGGGAGCAAACGGG
rnacentral:rRNA from 1 species